rnacentral:rRNA from 1 species
UACGUAGGGUGCGAGCGUUGUCCGGAAUUAUUGGGCGUAAAGAGCUCGUAGGCGGUGUGUCACGUCGGCCGUGAAAACCUGCAGCUUAACUGUGGGCGUGCGGUCGAUACGGGCAUCACUGGAGUUCGGCAGGGGAGACUGGAAUUCCUGGUGUAGCGGUGAAAUGCGCAGAUAUCAGGAGGAACACCGGUGGCGAAGGCGGGUCUCUGGGCCGAUACUGACGCUGAGGAGCGAAAGCGGUGGGGAGCGAACAGG